CCUGUAGUCUAAUGGUUACGACGCCUGGUUUUCAUCCAGGAUAUCGCGGGUUCGAAUCCCGUCAGGG
rnacentral:tRNA from 1 species